GCCGGGUGUGGUGGUGCAUGCCUGUAAUCCCAGCCACUCAGGGGCUGAGACAGGAGGAUCUCACCUUGGACUCCACAAGGAACUAAGCAACUCAGUGAGACUCUGUCUCUA
rnacentral:sRNA from 1 species